rnacentral:tRNA from 1 species
GCAGCGUGGAGUAGGGUUACAGUUCUAGCUCCGAAGGCGGAGGCCACAGGUUCGAAUCCUGUCGAGUGCACCA